ensembl:lncRNA
GUUUUACAGAUUAGGAGAUGGAGCCUCAGAGAAGUUCUAAGAAGUGACAGAGCCCAGACUGGAACCCCAAACCAUGGGACCCCCAAAUCUCGGCUUUGCCCACCUUUCUUUCUCCGGGCCCACAGGGAGCUGUGGGAGUCUUUUCAGGGAACAAGGUCUUCAGGCGCACGUUUCAGAUGGAUCUCUGCUGCCCACCGCGUGGGGCGCAGUCAGUCUGGAGCCGGGGGACCAGGAGCGCGCUCAGAUCUCUGCAGAGAGACGACGGAGGCCGGGACCAAGCUGUUCCGGUGGGGAAGAAAGAGGACCAGCGCGGCUGCCUGGGCCUCGGUCUCGCUCUCCUGGGGUGGAGACAGCACCCUCUGCUGAGACGGUGAGAAGCCAGCGCUCGGGAGGCUGCUGAGCGCUUGAGCAGCCACCUAUGCAGGCGGGGCUGAUGUGGCCUGACCACAGCACCUCACCAGGCCUGGACCCUGCCCAGCCCAACCGCCCACGUGGUGUCAUUAGCUCUGCUGACACUGUGACGUGGAGCCACGGAUGUCCCAGAGCCCAGGAGAGGGCAGUGAAGGAAUGAAUAAGGAAGGAAAGCCUUGGAUCUUGGCGCACCCAGCUGGAGGACGGAGGGGCUGGCCUGAUGGUCUCCAGGAGCCGUUCCAGCUUGACAGCGAGGAUUCUGGAGGGCAGAGGGGCUGUCCCCGUGGGGCUCAGGAGAGCGGGCUUUGGAGAAGGCCACAGGGCGGGGGUCUAGGAGCUGAGCUCUGCGCGCUCCUCAGCCCUCCCGCCCUCUAAGGCUGGCCCUGUAAGCUCGGGCACACUCUGGGUGUGUGCAUGUUGAGGGGCACCCCACCAGAGAGGGAGAGCCCGCAGCUGGGGUCAGCAGCCAUGGCAACCGUCCAGAACCCACUCUGACUGGCCACAAGGUCUGAGACUGGCGGGUUCCACGCCCUGGAGGUGCCAAGACUCACCUGGGCCCAGGUAAUUUAUCCCCAUGGGCAUCAUAUGAC